UACGGAGGGUGCAAACGUUGCUCGGAAUCAUUGGGCGUAAAGCGUGUGUAGGCGGCCUGAUUUGUCCGAUGUGAAAUCCCCCGGCUCAACCGAGGAAGUGCAUCGGAAACGGUCGGGCUUGAGUACCGGAGAGGGUGACGGAAUUCCCGGUGUAGUGGUGAAAUACGUAGAUAUCGGGAGGAACACCGGUGGCGAAGGCGGUCACCUGGACGGAUACUGACGCUGAGACACGAAAGCGUGGGGAGCAAACAGG
rnacentral:misc_RNA from 1 species